GACGAACGCUGGCGGCGUGCUUAACACAUGCAAGUCGAACGGAAAGGCCCUGCUUUUGUGGGUUGUUCGAGUGGUGAACGGGUGAAUAACACGUGAGUACCCUUCCCAUCUCUUUAGGACAUCUUCAUGAAACUGGGGCUGAUACCGUAUAGCCCCUUCUGCUGCCAGGUGGGCGUUGGAAAGGUACGGCGGUUGUGGAUGGACUGGCUGCUUAUCAGUUUGUUGGGGGGGUAGUGGCUUACCAAGGCUUUGACGGGAAGCCGGCCUGAGAGGGUGACCGGCCACAUGGGGACUGAGAUACGGCCCAGACUCCUACGGGAGGCAGAAGUGGGGAAUAUUGCACAAUGGGCGGAAGCCUGAUGCAGCAACGCCGCGUGCGGGAUGACAGCCUUCGGGUUGUAAACCGCUUUCGCCUGUGACGAAGAGUGAGUGACGGUAAUGGAUAAAGAAGCACCGGCUAACUACGUG
rnacentral:rRNA from 1 species